rnacentral:rRNA from 1 species
GUAGGGAAUAUUGGGCAAUGGUCGGAAGACUGACCCAGCCAUGCCGCGUGCAGGAAGACGGCCCUCUGGGUUGUAAACUGCUUUUAUCUGGGAAGAAAAAGGCCAUGCGUGGCAAAUUGCCGGUACCAGAUGAAUAAGCACCGGCUAACUCCGUGCCAGCAGCCGCGGUAAUACGGAGGGUGCGAGCGUUGUCCGGAUUUAUUGGGUUUAAAGGGUGCGUAGGCGGCUGAUUAAGUCAGCGGUGAAAGACUUCGGCUUAACCGGAGCAGUGCCGUUGAUACUGGUUGGCUUGAGUGUCGGAGGGGUACAUGGAAUUGAUGGUGUAGCGGUGAAAUGCAUAGAUACCAUCAGGAACACCGAUAGCGAAGGCAUUGUACUGGCCGACAACUGACGCUGAUGCACGAAAGUGUGGGGAGCAAACAGGAUUAGAUACCCUUGUAGUCC